AACGCGAAGAACCUUACCUGGUCUUGACAUCCACAGAACUUAGCAGAGAUGCUUUGGUGCCUUCGGGAACUGUGAGACAGGUGCUGCAUGGCUGUCGUCAGCUCGUGUUGUGAAAUGUUGGGUUAAGUCCCGCAACGAGCGCAACCCUUAUCCUUUGUUGCCAGCGGUCCGGCCGGGAACUCAAAGGAGACUGCCAGUGAUAAACUGGAGGAAGGUGGGGAUGACGUCAAGUCAUCAUGGCCCUUACGACCAGGGCUACACACGUGCUACAAUGGCAUAUACAAAGAGAAGCGACCUCGCGAGAGCAAGCGGACCUCAUAAAGUAUGUCGUAGUCCGGAUUGGAGUCUGCAACUCGACUCCAUGAAGUCGGAAUCGCUAGUAAUCGUAGAUCAGAAUGCUACGGUGAAUACGUUCCCGGGCCUUGUACACACCGCCCGUCACACCAUGGGAGUGGGUUGCAAAAGAAGUAGGUAGCUUAACCUUCGGGAGGGCGCUUACCACUUUGUGAUUCAUGACUGGGGUGAAGUCGUAACAAGGUAACCGUAGGGGAACCUGCGGUUGGAUCACCUCCUU
rnacentral:rRNA from 1 species